rnacentral:rRNA from 1 species
AAUCAACGCUGGCGGCGUGCCUCAGACAUGCAAGUCGAACGCGAAAGUUUCCUUCGGGGAACAAGUAGAGUGGCGCACGGGUGAGUAACACGUAGGUAAUCUACCUUUGGAUGGGGAAUAACAACCGGAAACGGUUGCUAAUACCGCAUAAUGCAGCGGCACCUAAUGGUGACAGUUGUUAAAGCGGGGGAUCGCAAGACCUCGCGUCUAAAGAGGAGCCUGCGGCGGAUUAGCUAGUUGGUAAGGUAAAGGCUUACCAAGGCGAUGAUCCGUAGCCGGCCUGAGAGGGCGGUCGGCCACACUGACACUGACAUACGGGUCAGACUCCUACGGGAGGCAG